GACAGAGGAGGCAAGCGUUAUCCGGAAUUAUUGGGCGUAAAGCGUCCGUAGGUGGUUUGGCAAGUCUGGGGUUAAAGCCCGGAGCCUAACUCCGGAUCGGCCCUGGAAACUGCCAGACUAGAGUAAGGUAGGGGUUGCGGGAAUUCCCGGUGUAGCGGUGAAAUGCGUAGAUAUCGGGAAGAACACCAGUGGCGAAAGCGCGCAACUGGGCCAUUACUGACACUGAGGGACGAAAGCUAGGGGAGCGAAUGGG
rnacentral:rRNA from 1 species